rnacentral:misc_RNA from 1 species
CCACGCCCGAAGUCGUUACUCCAACCUUUCGAGGAGGAGGAUGCCGAAGGCAGGGCUGGUGACUGGGGUGAAGUCGUAACAAGGUAGCCGUACCGGAAGGUGUGGCUGGAUCACCUCCUUUUAGGGAGACCUACCCAAAUCAGGAAUCGAAAGCUCAAAGCGAGAAGUGAAAGGCGAAAAGCCAGAAGCGAAAAGCAAAAAGCAAAUAGAGACUGAGAUGGUCUACUCUAGGUCGGUCGAGAUUGGUGAAAGCUUUCAAAGUAUUACUAUUCCGGUUUAAAAAGAGAAAGAAUCAGCAACUAACUGUUGUUAGACUGCUGAGGAGACUCAGCCAGAACCUUGAAAACUGCAUAGAAACGCGAAAAGAGCAGGCAGACACAAGUAUCGGAAAGAUAUAAAGUGUUUGCUGGAUUUGAACCAAAUGAAAGUGGUCAAGCGAAUAAGAGCUAAUGGUGGAUACCUAGGCACACAGAGG